AUGGGGAUUUGCCAUGGGGGAACCCUGAUGCAGCCUGCCGCGUGUGUGAAGAAGGCCUUCGGGUUGUAAAGCACUUUCAGUUGUGAGGAAAAGUUAGUAGUUAAUACCUGCUAGCCGUGACGUUAACAACAGAAGAAGCACCGGCUAACUCCGUGCCAGCAGCCGCGGUAAUACGGAGGGUGCGAGCGUUAAUCGGAAUUACUGGGCGUAAAGCGCACGCAGGCGGUUUGUUAAGCUAGAUGUGAAAGCCCCGGGCUCAACCUGGGAUGGUCAUUUAGAACUGGCAGACUAGAGUCUUGGAGAGGGGAGUGGAAUUUCCAGGUGUAGCGGUGAAAUGCGUAGAUAUCUGGAGGAACAUCAGUGGCGAAGGCGACUCCCUGGCCAAAGACUGACGCUCAUGUGCGAAAGUGUGGGUAGCGAACAGGAUUAGAUACCCUGGUAGUCCACACCGUAAACGCUGUCUACUAGCUGUGUGUGCCUUUAAGGCGUGCGUAGCGAAGCUAACGCGCUAAGUAGACCGCCUGGGGAGUACGGCCGCAAGGUUAAAACUCAAAUGAAUUGACGGGGGCCCGCACAAGCGGUGGAGCAUGUGGUUUAAUUCGAUGCAACGCGAAGAACCUUACCUACACUUGACAUGCUAAGAAGUUACUAGAGAAGUUCGUGCNUUGGGAA
rnacentral:rRNA from 1 species